rnacentral:rRNA from 1 species
GACGAACGCUGGCGGCGUGCUUAACACAUGCAAGUCGAACGGGAUCCGGGCUUUCGGGUUUGGUGAGAGUGGCGAACGGGUGAGUAACACGUGAGUAACCUGCCCCCUUCUUUGGGAUAACGUCGGGAAAUCGGCGCUAAUACUGGAUAUUCUUGCUGCAUCGCAUGGUGUGGUUUGGAAAGGGUUUCUGGUGGGGGAUGGGCUCGCGGCCUAUCAGCUUGUUGGUGGGGUGAUGGCCUACCAAGGCUUUGACGGGUAGCCGGCCUGAGAGGGUGUCCGGGCACACUGGGACUGGGACACGGCCCAGACUCCUACGGGAGGCAGCAGUGGGGAAUAUUGCACGAUGGGCGCAAGCCUGAUGCAGCGACGCGGCGUGAGGGAUGACGGCCUUCGGGUUGUAAACCUCUUUCAGUAUGGAACAAGGAUCCUUCUUUUGGGGGGUUUGAGGGUACGUGCAGAAGAGGCGCGGGCUAACUACGU